CGCUAGCUAUAGGCUUAACACAUGCAAGUCGAGGGGAAACGGCAUUAUGUGCUUGCACAUUUUGGACGUCGACCGGCGCACGGGUGAGUAUCGCGUAUCCAACCUUCCCUCCACUCGGGGAUACCCCGUUGAAAGACGGCCUAAUACCCGAUGUUGUCCACAUAUGGCAUCUGACGUGGACCAAAGAUUCAUCGGUGGAGGAUGGGGAUGCGUCUGAUUAGCUUGUUGGUGCGGGUAACGGCCCACCAAGGCGACGAUCAGUAGGGGUUCUGAGAGGAAGGUCCCCCACAUUGGAACUGAGACAUGGUCCAAACUCCUACGGGAGGCAGCAGUGAGGAAUACUGGUCAAUGGACGUAAGUCUGAACCAGCCAAGUAGCGUGCAGGAUUGACGGCCCUAUGGGUUGUAAACUGCUUUUGUUGGGGAGUAAAGUGAGGCACGUGUGCCUUUUUGCAUUUACCCUUCGAAUAAGGACCGGCUAAUUCCGUGCCAGCAGCCGCGGUAAUACGGAAGGUCCAGGCGUUAUCCGGAUUUAUUGGGUUUAAAGGGAGUGUAG
rnacentral:rRNA from 1 species